UCGUGGUUAGCUGAGUUGGUAGAGCGCUCCACUGGAAAUGGAGAGGUCCCUUGUUCGAUACCAGGACCAGGCG
rfam:Ixodes scapularis strain Wikel colony gcontig_1108378901858, whole genome shotgun sequence.